rnacentral:lncRNA from 1 species
AGUCACAGUGGGCUCCCCGUGCCAGAUGCCUGUGGGUCCAUCAUGGUGACAAAAGCUGAAUUUCCCCCUCUUUGGGGGCGAAAGGGAGCAGGGAAGGGAGCGCGCAGCCUCCCCCCUCCCCUCCCCGCCCUCCGCGCUGCAUAGAUCUCCUUUUCUCCAAGUGUUUCCUCUUUAAUUAUGACCUGUUCCCCCUCCCUCUCNNNNNNNNCCCGCCCGCCGUGGGAGGAGCCCGCCGGAGGAAGCCGUGCGCCGGGGCUGCACAGAAUGGAUCUGCUCGGAGCGGGGACGUCGCUGAGCAGCCCGGCUUCCCGCGGCGGCUAGGAGCCGGCCACUGGCCUGGGCGGGCUGCGGGGACCGGGCCCCGGGAGCACCGAGGCGCGACCCCGGGAGCAUCGCGGCCGAGGCUGAGCGCGGCCAGCCCCCGGGAGGACAAACUCACGGCCACCCCAAGUUGCGCCGCCGGCCCCCCCUCGCUGCGCUGAGGAAUGAGACCUCUCCAGCUCGAUCUGCUCUUCGUGUGCUUCUUCCUUUUCAGUCAAGGUGAGAAACCGGCGCAGGCAUUUUUAAUAGGGGCCCACCAGAAGGAGCCAGGCCCGGUACCCGCCCCCCCUCCCGCCUGGGAACCGCUACCCUCUGAUGCGCCCUCUGGUUGGGCAGGAAGAUCACAGCAGGCCCGAACCUGCACUUGCACUUGGACUCUCAUGAGGGCAGCAAUCCUGAUUUUAAUGGUGGUGCUUGCAGCACAGCGAUUGGGGCCCCCAUCUUCCCGCAAGGUCAGUGGACACCCCGGUGUUCAUGGAGCAGAGUCUGGUGGGGGCUGCUGCCCUGGGGGACGUCUGUUCCCUUGCGUGUCGCAUCACUGCUGUCCGCAGGGAGUGAGGAGCAAAACCAGGUGGGAAUCCCCUGUCCGGCCACACUAGCUUUGUCCUGCAUUCCAAAUCGAGGGGGGUUUAUUUCCAGCGAGGGGAGUGUUACGGGGACCCCCCUCCAUCUGUGGAGGCACAGAUGCCAUUGCGUCGUGUUUCCUUUUCCCAGGGGGACACCCAGAAUGGACAGUUCGGUGUGCACGUCCAAUAUGAAUGUAGCUACCGCGGAUGAUUGGGAUCCUUCUCUCACCUUCACUGCAAAGAAUGCCGCGUCCCGCUUUCCGCCCGGGCUUGAGGGUGCCGGGGUUUGAGGAUGCUCUCUCCGCAUCCACACUGUUGCCAUAGAGGGAGGAUCUCCACCACCAUACUUAACGUGAACUUUCAUUAACUUUCUGCUUCUGAGCUGCUGAAGGAGCUAGGGAUCAAACAUUGUGCUUUUCCCGCGCCCCCCCCUUCCUCUUCUGAUUGUGAAAAUGAGUACUCUGGCUGUAUAUUUCUAGAAGUCAGUAAAUGUCAAUAUUGGAUAAGUGUUUCCUUUAUAUCACUGCAAUUUAGCAUAAGCUGCUUGGAAACAAAUGUCUUCCGUAAGCAUACAAUGUUUCCGUGAGUACACAGUCAACACCACUGCAAGGAUUAAAUAAAUGUCAGCUUUCCUCGGGUACA